AAAGCCAGGGGGUAAGUCACUGCACUUUGAACCGUUCCGUAGGUGAACCUGCGGAAGGAUCAUUA
rnacentral:rRNA from 1 species